UACAGAGGUGGCAAGCGUUGUUCGGAAUUACUGGGCGUAAAGGGCGCGUAGGCGGUCUUGUAAGUCCUGUGUGAAAUCCCUCGGCUCAACUGAGGAACUGCACAGGAAACUGCUUGGCUUGAGUUCGGGAGAGGGAAGCGGAAUUCCGGGUGUAGCGGUGAAAUGCGUAGAUAUCCGGAGGAACACCGGUGGCGAAGGCGGCUUCCUGGACCGACACUGACGCUGAGGCGCGAAAGCCAGGGGAGCGAACGGG
rnacentral:rRNA from 1 species